ACCUCAAAGCAGAAGAUGGACAGCAAGCAGAGGUGCCAUCCUCAGGUGACGUGCACAACAGUCCUCCUCUCAAGAUGAGGAAACUGAGUCUGAGAUGCAGGGGAUUGACUUUGUCCCCUUUGACACAGCCAGUGAGUGGCAGCAGCAGGACCCCUGGCCCAGAACUUAUUCCGUGGCUCAGCCUCAAACCAUGGCCUUCUGAGUCCAUGCUUUGCAGCUGUUCUCUGAUGGGUCGAAUGACAAAUGCUGACCCACAGAGCCACUUGUUGAAAGAUAAAUGGCGACUGAGCCUUGUGCACUGAGUUGGAGCUACUUCUUCCUGUCUUUUUCAAGGUCUGGCUAAAUGCAUGAGGAUUAAAUUCCUUAUCUAUCAGGAUCCCAUUGGCUCUCAGAUGCUUUGUGGUUCCCUCCAUCCAGAAGAUGAACUACUCCUUUUGACCGAGACUGGCCUAAUGUGGCUGAUUUUUUUUUCUGAGAAGAUGCUGCUCACUUAUGCCCCCCAUCUUUCAACUGUCUCACUGGCCACUCCACAUUCUCCCUAAUGGGGGCCCUGCAGCAGCCUCUGCUUGGCCCCCCUGCCUCCCAUCUGGCCCCCUCCAACCCACUCUCCACAUUGAAGCCAGAUUUAGUUUUUUUGCCAAAUCCAGCCAUGUCACUCGCCUAUCUAAAAUACACUUUUGGCUUUUCUCUGCCAAUUGAAUAAAACUCCAAAUUUC